UUUCGGCAGGAGGAGGAAGAUGGAGCCCAGCACCGCGGCCCGGGCUUGGGCCCUCUUUUGGUUGCUGCUGCCCUUGCUUGGCGCGGUUUGCGCCAGCGGACCCCGCACCUUAGUGCUGCUGGACAACCUCAACGUGCGGGAGACUCAUUCGCUUUUCUUCCGGAGCCUGAAGGACCGGGGCUUUGAGCUCACAUUCAAGACCGCUGAUGACCCCAGCCUGUCUCUCAUAAAGUAUGGGGAAUUCCUCUAUGACAAUCUCAUCAUUUUCUCCCCUUCGGUAGAAGGUAAGGGUUCCGCGUCGCCCCUAGCACUGGGAUUCGAGACCCAGGACUGAUGGAUUGCUUUCUUCUCGUUCUUGUGCAUGUCCUGGGUCACAGGAUGGGUUGCCAGUCCUGGACGCUGCUACCACGGAGAUGAGGAAAAUGCUCAUUUCUGACCUGACCCUAGAAGGGGACAUCUUUCUAAAAGACACAGCUAAGGAUUGUGGAGUCAAGUGUUGCUGCAGACCAUGGAACCCAGGGCCCUGCUGCUCUACUGAGAAGGGAGUUUACUCUGUAAAGGGCCUGAUAGAAAGAUGGAAAGCUCCUGGGUUGGGUUUGCCUGGGUGGAAAGAGGAAAUGGCCUGUUAUUAAUAUGGAUUGCUAUAAAGAGGCAUUGUGCAUUGUGGCAGUUGAUCUUAAGAAUUCAGAUAGAUUCAUAGUCUCGGGCUGAAAAAAGAGCCUUAGCAAUUAUCUACCACCCCACCCCUCCUCCCAUUUGAGGCUG
rnacentral:sRNA from 1 species